ensembl:misc_RNA Y_RNA Y RNA
GACUGGUCCGAAGUUAGUGAGUUAUCUCGAUUGUUCACAGUUACAGAUCAAACUCCUUGUUCUACUCUACCCCCUUCUCACUUCUGCACUUGACUAGUGUUAA